GGCUCAGAUUGAACGCUGGCGGCAUGCCUUACACAUGCAAGUCGAACGGCAGCACGGGAGCUUGCUCCUGGUGGCGAGUGGCGAACGGGUGAGUAAUACAUCGGAACGUACCCUGAAGUGGGGGAUAACGUAGCGAAAGUUACGCUAAUACCGCAUAUUCUGUGAGCAGGAAAGAGGGGGAUCGCAAGACCUCUUGCUUUAGGAGCGGCCGAUGUCGGAUUAGCUAGUUGGUGAGGUAAAGGCUCACCAAGGCGACGAUCCGUAGCGGGUCUGAGAGGAUGAUCCGCCACACUGGGACUGAGACACGGCCCAGACUCCUACGGGAGGCAGCAGUGGGGAAUUUUGGGCAAUGGGCGCAAGCCUGAUCCAGCCAUGCCGCGUGAGUGAAGAAGGCCUUCGGGUUGUAAAGCUCUUUCGGUGGGGAAGAAAUUGCACAGGAUAAUACCUUGUGUAGAUGACGGUACCCGCAUAAGAAGCACCGGCUAACUACGUG
rnacentral:rRNA from 1 species